rnacentral:rRNA from 1 species
UUCCGGUUGAUCCUGCCGGAGGCCAUUGCUAUUGGGAUCCGAUUCAGCCAUGCUAGUCGCACGGGUUAGACCCGUGGCGAAAAGCUCCGUAACACGUGGUCAAACUACCCUGUGGAGGAGGAUAACCUCGGGAAACUGAGGCUAAUACUCCCUACGGCUCCUCGCCUGGAAUGGCGGGAGCUGGAAACGCUCCGGCGCCACAGGAUGUGACUGCGGCCGAUUAGGUAGACGGUGGGGUAACGGCCCACCGUGCCUAUAAUCGGUACGGGUUGUGAGAGCAAGAGCCCGGAGACGGAAUCUGAGACAAGAUUCCGGGCCCUACGGGGCGCAGCAGGCGCGAAACCUUUACACUGCACGUCAGUGCGAUAAGGGGAUCCCGAGUGCGAGGGCAUACAGUCCUCGCUUUUCUGCACCGUAAGGUGGUGCAGGAAUAAGGGCUGGGCAAGACCGGUGCCAGCCGCCGCGGUAAUACCGGCAGCCCAAGUGAUGGCCGCUAUUAU